rnacentral:misc_RNA from 1 species
GCUGCUGCAUUCCCCUUCAAUAGCUUAAAUUCCAAUAACCCAUAUCAAUAACAAGUCUCAUGAUAAGUGAAAUUCUAAAAAUGGUUCAAUAUUUUCAUACUAUCGCAUUUGUGAUUUCCUGUGUAGUGUAACUCUUUUAGUCAAAAUUAUUAGGCCAAUUAGUAUCAGCAUAUCGCUAUAAAACAAAAUUAAUUCAAUAAAAGUGUUAUAUUAACUUUUCUACAGUGAUCAAACUCAGUCUGAUAAUUAGAAUUCAUGAUAGUCAAUCAUCAAA